ACAAAAAAGAUGUGUUUUCUUUAUACAAAUUCGGUCAUACUUCAAACGAAUAUAACUAUUUAUUUUCAUUCAUUUCAAAUAACAGGUGAUAUAUUGCAAUGAUUUAGUAAUGCAUUAUCAUUUGUCGACUUACAUUGUAUUAUUUUAGACGCGUUAAUGUGCAAAUAAUUAAGAAGAGUAAUCGAUGACACUGAGAAACGAAAUCUUAUAUUUGUUAAUAUUUCUCUAUGAUAGAUAAGACCACUAUGACACAUGAAUGUCGGUCGGUAGCUAAACAAAACGAACGCGAUAUUUUGCAACAGAAGUCGCAUCUUUUUUAAUAACAGGUGGUAGCAUCGGAGUAGCUGCGUUCGCGUGCAUAUUUCGAUCGCGUGUAUUUACUCAUUCGGUGGGUCGCUCGGUGGGUAAAGAAAGGCGAUCCUGUGCAUCCAGCUCUCGCAAGCGAAAAGAGAUUGAUCGACCGGUGUCUGAGCGCGAACACGUUCUCGAGGAUGCUGCUGCACACGCGGCGCAACGGACGAGUGUCGAACAAUGCGGCCUACUCCAGUAACUUUCUUUCCUCCAAGAGCACCCGUUAAUUCGAAGGAACACGCGAUCUACAUUCUUGUAGCACGUGUUUACUGACACGUGGCUCGCUCGAGAAGCUGUCAAACGAUCCAUGGAAUCGCGCAACGUCUGCCCAUACUUUUUCAUCGAACCAACUAUUUCUCCAUCUCGUAAGAUGCGAGAGUAACGAAGAAAUGGAGACACUUUACACGGGAGCAAUCCACGGGUUUCCCCAAUCGAACGGUGGACUGCCUAAUGGAAUAUCUACGGGAAUUGCCAGCUCGUUCGAUCAAGACGGCGUGUUGAGUCUCAUCGUCGUUCUGGGCGGAAGCUUGUCUCUGGUUGCUCUAGUCUUUGCCUUCAUUACCUAUAGGUAAGUCGAUUGAUAUUGCUAUUGCCAAUAAAUAGUCAGCGACAUAACAGAUUUUUCAAAAAGAGUCAAAUAAUUGAUUGUCAUUGUUGUCGAUUGGUAACAAUGGAUACUGUACAUUGUUCAUAUCUUAACACUUAGCCAACCGAAUAGGGAAAUCUGCCCUCUGUGAAGAACAUCGCUGCGUGACCGAACUGGGAGAUCUCCCUUUUUGACUUUAGCAACGCGUUUUCUUUUCUUUUUGUUGUUGUUAUUAGUUAUUGUUUACCUGGAAUUGUUCCCAAAUAAUUGCACCACUUUUUCUGCUUUUAUAAAGUACAGUAUAUAAUAAGAUAUAGCAAUUAGUGGUGUUAAAAUGAAUUAAAAAGCUACACUAUCAGUUAUGACUAAAUAAAGUUAUAAUCGAACGAUACGACACUGUAAAAAAAUAUUAAAAUGCAUUAUGAAAUUUUAAUUUCA